GGGGAUGUCCUGGUUUCGACAGGGAUUUGGAAAGAAGGGAAGCGAGCCGUCAGGCAGAUGACGUUAAACAGGCAACCUAAAUUUAAAUGCUAACGACAACGAAUUAGCUUUUGCUGCUUAAUUAACAAGCAGUCGGCCCUCCAGGUGGACCCGUAACACUCGGACUGGCCUCAAAUAUGUCGGGAAACUUCCUGCGCUAAGCUUUGCCCGCAGGUUGGAUUGAUGAAGCUACCUCGACUUUUGGCUUGUUUGUUGGCUUGAUUUCGGGGGAAACAAUUUCAACAAGCUACGCUCGUAGAAACUCUUCCGGAUGAGUUUCUGGACACGGGUUCGAUUCCCGUCAUCUCCAU
rnacentral:tmRNA from 1 species